AAAGGAAUAGACGGGGACCCGCACAAGCGGUGGAGCGUGAUCUUUAAUUCGAUGCUAAACGAUAAACCUUACCAAGGCUUGACAUCCAGGGAAGGCCUCCGAAAGGAGUCUGUGCCUUCGGGAACCCUGUGACAGGUGAUGCAUGGCCGUCGUCAGCUCGUGUCGUGAGAUGUUUGGUUAAGUCCAUCAACGAGCGCAACCCUUGUCAGUAGUUGUAUUUUUCUACUGAAACUGCCCCGGUAACGAGGAGGAAGGAGGGGAUGAUGUCAGGUCAGUAUUUCCCUUACGCCUUGGGCUAGAAUCGCGCUACAAUGGCUAGUACAAUGCGAAGCGAAGUCGCGAGAUGAAGCAAAUCGCACCAAAGCUAGUCCCAGUUCGGAUAGGAGGCUGAAACUCGCCUCCUUGAAGUCGGAAUCGCUAGUAAUCGCAAAUCAGCAUGUUGCGGUGAAUACGUUCCCGGGUCUUGUACACACCGCCCGU
rnacentral:rRNA from 1 species